AUUGAACGCUGGCGGCAGGCCUAACACAUGCAAGUCGAACGGUAACAGGAAGAAGCUUACUUCUUUGCUGACGAGUGGCGGCCGGGUGAGUAAUGUCUGGGAAACUGCCUGAUGGAGGGGGAUAACUACUGGAAACGGUAGCUAAUACCGCAUAACGUCGCAAGACCAAAGAGGGGGACCUUCGGGCCUCUUGCCAUCGGAUGUGCCCAGAUGGGAUUAGCUUGUUGGUGGGGUAACGGCUCACCAAGGCGACGAUCCCUAGCUGGUCUGAGAGGAUGACCAGCCACACUGGAACUGAGACACGGUCCAGACUCCUACGGGAGGCAGCAGUGGGGAAUAUUGCACAAUGGGCGCAAGCCUGAUGCAGCCAUGCCGCGUGUAUGAAGAAGGCCUUCGGGUUGUAAAGUACUUUCAGCGGGGAGGAAGGGAGUAAAGUUAAUACCUUUGCUCAUUGACGUUACCCGCAGAAGAAGCACCGGCUAACUCCGUG
rnacentral:rRNA from 1 species